rnacentral:rRNA from 1 species
UACGUAGGGUGCGAGCGUUAAUCGGAAUUACUGGGCGUAAAGUGUGCGCAGGCGGCCGAGCAAGUCGAGUGUGAAAGCCCCGAGCUUAACUUGGGAACUGCGCUCGAAACUACUUGGCUAGAGUGUGGCAGAGGGAGGUGGAAUUCCACGUGUAGCGGUGAAAUGCGUAGAGAUGUGGAGGAACACCGAUGGCGAAGGCGGCAUCCUGGACCACGACUGACGCUGAGUGAGCGAAAGCCAGGGGAGCAAACGGG